CCUACUUGGUCAUCUCCAUGUGCCGGGGCUUGCUGCCAUGCCUUGCAUAUAUUCAAGUAUCUGUUGCAUGAAUCCAUAAGGAAGUACAUAAGCCAUUGUGUCAACAGACAGACUCUUGGAUGGUCUGUUUCCAGAAAUUUUUCCGCUCUCUUACUGGAAUUUUAUGGCUUGUCUUGGCUAAAAAGGGGUGAGAAUCCCUUCUCAGUCUGAAUCCUACACUGGGCGUGUAAGCAAAGAGGCGGACCUUGUUGUCUGACACUGCUGGUAUCUGGAGUUUGUUACGGCACAGCGCGUAGCCUAUUCUGACCGUGCAGAGAGUCGGCUAAGACAAGUUUGUCAGGAGCCUGCAGAACAGAGGGGCCCCAGAAAGCCGUUCUCCAGUGUGGCCCGAAAUGUUGGCUCCUGGCAGUGACCCUAAGGUCACUAAAGAAGACUAUGGGGCACAGACAAUGCUAUCUGGAUUGUGGUAAUGCUGACCACUGGGAAAAACUGCCCCAUGCCUCACCCUCCCCAAGGACCCUGCCCAAACUGUGGACAAACAGGACACUGGAGAGUUGAUUGCCCCACUUUGCCUAGACAAGGUAAGCAAGUUCUCCAAGUUCCUCAUCAUGAGAAAGCCUCUCAGGUCUCCUGGGCCUGGCAGCAGAAGACUGAUGUUACCCUGGCACCUCUGCCCCCAACAAGCCAUAGAGACCAUGGGAGCCUAGGGUAGCUGUCUAGGGAGUGGGUAAGUCUCUGUCAUUUUAACAGACACACAGGCCAUUUGGAUUACACUUCCUGCUAUAAUUUAUCCUCAGCUCUCUGAUGGUGUUGGUGACUAACUCUAGCUUUGUCA